GACGAACGCUGGCGGCGUGCUUAACACAUGCAAGUCGAACGGAAAGGCCCUGCUUUUGUGGGGUGCUGGAGUGGCGAACGGGUGCGUAACACGUGAGUAACCUGCCCUUGACUUUGGGAUAACUUAAGGAAACUGGGGCUAAUAUCGGAUAGGAGCUCCUGUUGCAUGGUGGGGGUUGGAACGUUUCGGCGGUUGGGGAUGGACUGGCGGGUUAUCAGCUUGUUGGUGGGGUAGUGGCUUACCCAGGCUUUGACGGGUAGCCGGCCUGAGAGGGUGACCGGCCACAUUGGGACUGAGGUACGGCCCAGACUCCUACGGGAGGCAGAAGUGGGAAAUAUUGCACAAUGGGCGGAAGCCUGAUGCAGCAACGCCGCGGGCGGGAUGACGGCCUUCGGGUUGAGAACCGCUUUCGCCUGUGACGAAGCGUGAGUGACGGUAAUGGGUAAAGAAGCACCGGCUAACUACGUG
rnacentral:rRNA from 1 species